rnacentral:rRNA from 1 species
ACGUAGGUGGCAAGCGUUGUCCGGAAUUAUUGGGCGUAAAGAGCAUGUAGGCGGGCUUUUAAGUCCGACGUGAAAAUGCGGGGCUUAACUCCGUAUGGCGUUGGAUACUGGAAGUCUUGAGUGCAGGAGAGGAAAGGGGAAUUCCCAGUGUAGCGGUGAAAUGCGUAGAUAUUGGGAGGAACACCAGUGGCGAAGGCGCCUUUCUGGACUGUGUCUGACGCUGAGAUGCGAAAGCCAGGGUAGCAAACGG